CUUGAAGAGUGUGAAGCUGGCGUGGCAGAGUUAGAGUUUAAUCCCAGACCCAAACAAAGUUCAUGCACAUCAUACAGCAAAUCGCACAAGCAGAGAGAAACUGUGGACAGGAGGACAAUGGAGGUUGUUCGUGGAGUUUUAGAUGAAAACAGUAAAGAGUGGAUGGACAUUUCCAGGGAGAUGGCUGCUAGAAGAACAGUAUCUUCUGGAGGCAAAUGGCAGAGGGCAGUGGAAGAUGUAAUGGAGAAGAAUAAACAACCCACGUACAUUCUAAUCCAAAGACUCGGGGAAAAAUCAAGCAGGAAGGGCAUGGGAUGGUGAAAGAAGCAGCCAUGAAGCUCGUAUCAUGGAUGAGGCCUCUUGCUUAUAUGAGAUGAUAAGUAGAUAGAUAGAUGGAUAGAUAGAUGUUGAAAGACAGAUUUGAUAUCAAUGGAACCUCUCUUUCUAGUUUUUUUUGUUGUUGUUGUUUGUUUAAGAAAAAAAACUUAAAUGUGAUUUAUUUCUCAUUGGAGGCCUCCAGAAGCACCAACCUCUUCCCACUGGCUUUAUAGGAAUAAGCAUCCAAAGACAGCAAUUUGAACCACUUUUGAGAGGGACCUUUCAACCUGAUCUGAUGCCUGAUCUAGCAGCUAGCAACCUUGCCCAUGGCAGUGGGGCUAGAACUAGAUGAUA